UACGUAGGGUGCAAGCGUUAAUCGGAAUUACUGGGCGUAAAGCGUGCGCAGGCGGUUUUGUAAGACAGAGGUGAAAUCCCCCGGGGCUCAACCUGGGGAACUGCCUUUGUGACUGCAAGGCUUUGAGUGCGGCAGAGGGGGGAUGGAAUUCCGCGUGUAGCAGUGGAAAUGCGUAGAUAUGCGGAGGAACACCGAUGGCGAAGGCAAUCCCCUGGGCCUGCACUGACGCUCAUGCACGAAAGCGUGGGGAGCAAACAGG
rnacentral:rRNA from 1 species